rnacentral:rRNA from 1 species
GGGGGGGGGGGGGGGGGGGGGUGGGGGGGGGGGGGGGGGGGGGCGGGGGGGGGGGGGGCAGGCGGGGGAGUGCCGCGUGGGCACGUAGCUUUUGGUUCGGAACCCCUCCGGGGAACUGGGGCUAAUACCGGAUAAGGCCUAACGGGGAAAGCUUUAUCGCCGAAAGGUCGGCCCGCGUCUGAUUAGCUGGUUGGUGGGGUAACGGCUCACCAAGGCGACGAUCAGUAGCUGGUCUGAGAGGCUGAUCAGCCACACUGGGACUGAGACACGGCCCCGACUCCUACGGGAGGCAGCAGUGGGGAAUAUUGGACAAUGGGCGCAAGCCUGAUCCAGCCAUGCCGCGUGAGUGAUGAAGGCCUUAGGGUUGUAAAGCUCUUUUGUCCGGGAAGAUAAUGACUGUACCGGAAGAAUAAGCCCCGGCUAACUUCGUG